AUUCUGUAUUUCUCCUUUCUUUUCACUUUAUAACAACUAUGGUUCUCCUUAGUUCCAUUGUCAGUCCAUCUGCUAUAAUGGCCACCUGGCCUCUGUGUCAAGCAGCUACAUACUUGGAGAACUAGGGAGGCUAAUGGAUCGGAACGGCGGCCGCACUCGCACAUGGCUUGGAGGAUGGAGAAUCUUUAAUACACGUAAUUUCAUGUGGUUGGAUGGAACGCACUGGCUCUAUAAUGGCUGGGCUGUUGGAGAACCCAAUAAUGCUGGAGGGCAUGAGAACUGUGUAGAGACGUGGUAUAAUCUGGCGUUCAAUGAUGCACCAUGCACAAUUCCCAAACCAUUCAUCUGUUCCUGUCCACUUUAAACAGACAGAGGGUUAACCUAACCUGCUAUACAGUAACUUUUAUGAAAAAAGUGUAAAUAAUAAUCAUUAUUGCAAUUUUUAAAGAUUUAUUUAUAAGAGUUAUCAACUGAUGUUUAAGUCAGUUUGCCUUGUAUUUUUACAAACAAAAGAAUAAACAUGUUUAUAUACCUCAACUGUUUCAUUUAGUUUGGUUAAUAUAGCAUUUAAUUGUUGUUUACUAGCCAAAACCAUCCUUUUGAACACUUCUACUGUAUGUUUAAAUCAAGCUGUAAAAUUAUAUACAAUAAAAGUGACUUUUUUAUGUA